GAUAAUGUGUCAAAAAACAAGUUGCUCUAGCUAUAAUAAGAACCAUGUAAUUAGAUUCAUAUGCAAUAUCUAGUAAAGGUUGUAUUCUUUUUUCUGAUUUUUCACCUUAUUUUAUAAUAGAAGUCUAUUUAGGAUCCAAAAAUCACAAAGUCUUAGCCUUGUUGGAUUCAAGAGCCUCAUCUUAUUUUAUAGACAAAGACUUUGUCAAAAAACAAGAUAUAUCGUUCGUUAAGAAAAUCAAAUAUGUGCAUAUAAAAAAAAUAGAUAGACAUUUAUUGUCUUCUCAAGAUGUUAUAUGUGAAACUAUU
rnacentral:lncRNA from 1 species